AGGUGAACCUGCGGAAGGAUCAUUGUCGU
rnacentral:rRNA from 3 species